rnacentral:rRNA from 1 species
AGCGAACGCUGGCGGCAGGCUUAACACAUGCAAGUCGAGCGCCGUAGCAAUACGGAGCGGCAGACGGGAGAGUAACGCGUGGGAACGUGCCCUUUGGUUCGGAACAACCCAGGGAAACUUGGGCUAAUACCGGAUAAGCCCUUACGGGGAAAGAUUUAUCGCCGAAGGAUCGGCCCGCGUCGGAUUAGCGAGUGUGUGGGGUAAUGGCUCACCAAGGCGACGAUCAGUAGCUGGUCUGAGAGGAUGAUCAGCCUCACUGGGACUGAGACACGGCCCAGACUCCUACGGGAGGCAGCAGUGGGGAAUAUUGGACAAUGGGCGCAAGCCUGAUCCAGCCAUGCCGCGUGGGUGAUGAAGGCCCUAGGGUUGUAAAGCCCUUUCAGCGGGGAAGAUAAUGACGGUACCCGCAGAAGAAGCCCCGGCUAACUUCGUGCCAGCCGCCGCGGUAAGAC